rnacentral:tRNA from 1 species
AUGCUGGUAGUAUAUAAGCCUGUACAGUUGCCUUCCAAGCAAAAAGUCCUAAGAGGCCAGUAUA